CUAAGAUUUUUAAACAGCCUUUUCACACAAUGUGAAUACCAAAUGCACUUAAAAAAAUUCAACUUUACCAGUAAACAAGAACAUGAAGCUCAGACAUUGCUGGGUGGGAUAUAAAUUGCAGUCGCUUUUCUAUUUAAGUAAAUGAGCAACACUUAUCAAGAACCUUAAACAUUAACCUUUGAAUCAGGUAGCCUAAUGGUUAGAAAAAUCUUUAGUUCAAUUAUUCCUAGCUUAGAAGCAGUCAGAAGUUUAUGCACAUAGAUAUUAAUGAUAACAUUAUUUAUGAAAGCGAAAAAAGCAUAAAAACAAGUUAUGUUGUAUUUAUAUACUGGAAUAUUACGGAUCUAAGGACAUGAGAAAUGCUCCUGGCUGAAGUGAGAAAAGCAGCAAACAAAAUACCUACCUCUCCCACAGCUUUCCAAGUAAACUGGCAAAGAAAAAGCUACAGACACGAUUAUUCUAAUUCUCGUGUCCAACCAGGAAGGGGUGUAGAGCACGCUGAUAGGCAGAAAGACUGGAAACCCUCAAACACUCAGCAUUUUCUCAUCACAGUGAGCUUACAGGUGAUGCAUUUUUUUUUCAAUUAUCAGCUUUUUA
rnacentral:lncRNA from 1 species